rnacentral:rRNA from 1 species
UUUAGACUUAAAUAUUAUAACUUAAGUAGUAAUAGAUAUAGUCUUGAAACUUAAAGAAUUUGGCGGUAUUUUAGUCUAUUUAGAGGAAUCUGUUCCAUUAUCGAUAAUCCACGUUGGACCUUACUUAAUUUAGUUAAAUAUGUAUACCGCCGUAUAUUUGAAGAUCUUAUUAGGGUAAAUUUUCUUAAAAUUUAAGAUUAAUAGUAUUUCAGGUCAAGGUGCAGUUUAUAAUUAAGUGGAAAUGGAUUACAUUAUUAUUUUAUAUACGAAUUAAAUAUUGAAAUAUAUUUAUGAAGGUGGAUUUAAUAGUAAUUUUAAUAAGAUUAUUAAAAUGAUUUUAGCUCUAGAAUGUGU